ensembl:lncRNA
CUGAAAAUAAUUUUUCUUCCUUGGUUACAGAGUGAUGUUUCUGGAAUCUGGAAUUUUUUAGAAGCUAAACCUGAGCAAGAACUACACUUUGGCUCCUGUAUACAAGAAACAGCACAAAAGGCAUGUCAUGCUCAAAUCCAAACAAAGCCAUGAAAAAGUUGCCUGUAACUGACUGUCCGUGUGAUCUGGCAUUCAAUAUCAUUCAGAAAGAUGCAAAGGCGAGUCUAAAGAACAGGAGUAUUUCUAUGAGGGCUGGUCAGCUCCAAAGAGGUGCAUUCAAGCUGCACAGUCAAUUUCUACACUAUUUAUUCAACACAAGCCAAACGAUGGAGAAUUGAGGGAGACGAAAAAUGAGAGCCUGCCAAGAAUAUGUAGGUAGGUAAACUGAAGACGACUGUAGCAUAGCAAUGUUUAGAAAUAUAUUUCUCAGACCAGAUAAGGAGAAAAGGUUUAUUUAUGUAUUAUUUACUUACAAUAUUUUUACCUCACCUUUCUCCUAAAAGGAUCCAAGAACACAGUGAAGUUUUUAUAUGCCCAGAUAUAUGUGAUCUGAAUUUUACCAUUAGAUAAAUUUGUAAAUGUAUAUGGGACACAAUCUAUAAUCUCUUUCAAGAAGAAUGAAAGAAAAGAAAAGAAAAGAAAAAAGAAAAGGAAGAAAUCCACCACUAUAUAUCAGGCCAGAAACUUCUGAAAUGAACCUGAAUUCAGCUUGUAUCUGGAAAACACAGAUUGAUUUGCUGAAGCCUAUUUAUAUGCUGUUGGCCUUAUCACCUCCUUGACAAACCCCAAUGUCAUGAAAGGUGUUAUUCGUUAAAUUGCACAGGAAGUGUGGAAACAAACUGUCUUCUGGAUACAGCAGGGUCUAUGGCUUAGUUGUGGGAUGAAUUGGGUGCCAAAGGUAACUCUGUGACAAUGAGUGAGAGCCUAUAGAGAGGAAACUGUGUUUUCUUUUCUCCUUGCAUUUAGUGUGAAUGCUUUCUGAUCAGAUAGAUCACUGAAGAAAUGAAAAAGAUAGCUAAAACUUCAGAGAGCCAGCAGAUGUGAUAAAUGACAGCCAGCAGGACUUUGGGCUGUUACAGCUUACUGAGUCAGAUGUCCAAAUGAUUUCUGAAACGGUAAAUUGAGACAUCAUUUUUUUUAACACACAAAAAAGGUGCUGUGUGAAAGAGUUUUGCAUUGAAAAUUUAGUAUAACAGGCCACAUUUUCCCAGGAAGACCAUUAGACUCCAAAGCACUUU